GAUGAACGCUGGCGGUAUGCUUAACACAUGCAAGUCGAACGGACUCUUCGGAGUUAGUGGCGGACGGGUGAGUAACGCGUGAGAAUCUGGCUUUGGGUUCGGGACAACCACUGGAAACGGUGGCUAAUACCGGAUGUGCCGAGAGGUAAAAGAGAAAUUGCCUGAAGAUGAGCUCGCGUCUGAUUAGCUAGUUGGUGAGGUAAAGGCUCACCAAGGCAGCGAUCAGUAGCUGGUCUGAGAGGAUGACCAGCCACACUGGGACUGAGACACGGCCCAGACUACUACGGGAGGCAGCAGUGGGGAAUUUUCCGCAAUGGGCGAAAGCCUGACGGAGCAAUACCGCGUGAGGGAAGAAGGCUCUUGGGGUGUAAACCUCUUUUCUUAGGGAAGAACAAAAUGACGGUACCUAAGGAAUCAGCAUCGGCUAACUCCGUG
rnacentral:rRNA from 1 species